UUGGAGGGCAAGUCUGGUGCCAGCAGCCGCGGUAAUUCCAGCUCCAAUAGCGUAUAUUAAAGUUGUUGCAGUUAAAAAGCUCGUAGUUGAAUUUCGAGACCGGCUUACUGGUCGUGCUUUUGUACGUACUGGUAUUAUUGGUUUCUCCUUUCUGACGAAUCUUAAUGCCAUUAAUUUGGUGUUUUGGGGAAUCAGGACUGUUACUUUGAAAAAAUUAGAGUGUUUAAAGCAGGCUCACGCUUGAAUACAUUAGCAUGGAAUAACGAAAUAGGACGUUUGAUUUUAUUUUGUUGGUUUCUAGGAUCGACGUAAUGAUUAAUAGGGAUAGUUGGGGGCAUUAGUAUUCAAUUGUCAGAGGUGAAAUUCUUGGAUUUAUUGAAGACUAACUACUGCGAAAGCAUUUGCCAAGGAUGUUUUCAUUAAUCAAGAACGAAAGUUAGGGGAUCGAAGACGAUCAGAUACCGUCGUAGUCUUAACCAUAAACUAUGCCGACUAGGGAUCGGAUGAUGUUAAUUUUUUAAUGACUCAUUCGGCGCCUUACGGGAAAC
rnacentral:rRNA from 1 species